UGCUCUGAUGAACCCAAAUAUUCGCUGUGUUCUUUCCGAGUCAACCUUUGACGAAACACAUAUUUCACCUUGGAGAACUGAGAU
rnacentral:snoRNA from 19 species